rnacentral:lncRNA from 1 species
GUGUCAAUCAAAUUCCAGCAGCCUCACUGCGAGCAGUAGUACCAUCCAGGUUAAAGGAUCAGUCACACAACUACAAUAUCGAGACAACACUGGCGAUUGAAUAGAAAUUCAAGUGAUCUCUCGUAUGGUCAUGCUCAACACUAGUUCUUUAAUAACUAUCUGCACUCGUCGUCCCAUGCCUAUACACUGUAGACUAGAGACCCAUCUAUUUCGAAGAAAGCGAUUUGUGCGCCAGUGUAUCCGGAUCGAUCAUCGUCCUCAUGAUGAUUUUAUGAUCGGGAGCAUUUAGGAAUUAAAUACAUAUUUUUAAUUCUCAACACUUUGAGAAUAUGUAUCGAAAAUUAAUUUCAUGAACGAUUCAAGGACACAUCAUACUUGAAUGAAAAAUAAACUUGUUCUUUUAUUUAUCAAAUCAUGUAUUAAGUACAAAAUUAUGUCCUAGAUUUAUUACAAUGUGUCAGCCAUAUUGGUUUUUAGGACAUAUACAUCUAACAUUAAUAAUCUAGGAACUAAAUGACAAUGCAUUGUAGAUUUCUAUGAGAUAUGUCCCUUGCUUUGUGUGCGCGCGUGCGCGAUCGCUUGCUUUGUGCGUGCGCAUGAGAUUGCAGGACAAUGCCUCUUUUGUGACUUAAAUAAUCUGUCAUAUAAAUGAUAAUACACUGUUAAUUUCUAUGAGAUCUGUCCGUUGUUUGGUAUGAGUGACAGAUGAAAUUUGUUUUUAUUGACUUUUGUUUUGAUCAAUAAUUUUGAACUAUGUUUAUGCAUCUAUGAUCCUAUUUAUUCAUCAUGUAUUGAUUCAAAUAUUGAAAAAGGUUGGAGAAACUGACUUGCACCUGACAUAAGUAACCACUCUAAAAUCUAAGUGAUAUAACAACAUAGUGCUUCCUAGGUCAAACGAUGCAUCAAAUGUUAGGAUAUCGUUCCUUUUUCUGGGGAUGAUUUAGAGCUUAUCUGGCUAUCCCCUAGGUCAGUCAACUAGAUAUGCCUUUUUGAUUACAGGUGGGGCAUACAAGCAUUUGUGUACCAUUGUAUUAUUUAGAAAGGAUAUAGGAAGGAAAGAGUUCACAGGAUCAUAUUAAUCAAUUCUAAUAUUGAAAGGAAACUCCCCCAGUAUCUCUUUUCAUGAGGCUCCACUUUGUGCACAUCCAAUUUUCAGUUCCCAAGAUACCUAUUCAAAUAUUAGUUUGUCCCCCCAUCUGCAUGUUUCCAGCACUGCAUCCCAGGUGCAGUGUUAGCACUGGGGUUAUGUUUGUUAACCACAAGGUCAAGGGUUCAAACCGACCCUUUAAUGUUUGUUGCUUAUUCCUUUUUAAAAAAAAAUUUGCUUCGCACAUGCCAAAGUCUAGUAAUGGAAAAACAAAACAGUAUAAUGGUGUUCAAGGUUGAACGACUGCCAUUACUGAUGGUGCUCUGAGAAGGGGUGUAACACUUGGAAUAAAUGAACUAGCAACCAAGGGAUUGUUAAAUAGAGGAUAUUCAUCACUUUUGGACAUCAGUCAUGUUGACAGUUCGUUGGGGCUUUUAAUUUUUAUUAUUCUCUCCACCCUCAUGAAUGGAGAAAGACAUUUUAUUGCCAUGUUUUGGGUUUUCGUGUGCCAUUUUGCAGAAUAAAAGGAUUAUAACAACCAAUUCAGGAGGCUGUAAACAAUAAUAAAUGAAGGGUCUCCAUUUCCAAUGCCAGUUGAGCUCAAGGACAUUGUCAAUCUAGGGAAGGUAUAAGGAAGACUUUAUCCUGGAUUAUAUAGGCAGUCAAAUUUGAUACUCAAUUAGUAAAGGAUAAUUGCCAACUAGAGUAGGCCGAGAUUUUUUUCUCCAUUUCCUGCAGAAUGAGUUACAUUUUUAUCCAGCAAGAACGAAUUGCAAUAUCAGAUUGUAGAUUGCUUUGUACUUGGCUUUGUAAUUUUUCAUCUUUGUUCCUCAACUUUUUUGCAUGAGGCAAGCCAACUGAGGCUGUUGUUUUUUGGUAAUUACUCAGAAAGGUUUCUCUUGGGUGAAAAGAUCUAUGUGAUUGAAUUCAUUGCUCUGCCUCUAAAUGAUCCUGUCAUUAGAGAGCAAUAUAAUGCUCUGAGUUCUAAUCUCCUAUUUCACCUUGCAAGUUUAGAUCUAAAAUCUUAAAUUAUAUAACUAUGAGUGCCAUAUUUGAUUCUUUAAAGCCAAUUGACGAGGGUCAUAGUUGUUGUUUGCAUCCGAUUCAUAUUUUUUUUCUUUUUCUUGUUUCUUUGAGAGUUUAGGGAAACCCACACAAUCUACCAGUCAAAGGGAGGAGAUAAAGUGGAGAGGGAGGGGGAAGCAGGUUAUAUCAAUGAUCGAAGAACAGGCUGAGAGGGAAGCCAGCUUCUCCCAAACAAAAAGAUUGCAACAUUUUUCUUACCAUUGCAGGAGAUUGUCCAGUCCUAAAAUAGAGAAAAGUUAGAAAGGAGUACAAGCCAGCUUCUCCCAAACAAAAAGAUGACAACAUUUUUCUUACCAUUGCAGGAGAUUGUCCAGUCCUUUUUGCUGGGUGGUG